rnacentral:rRNA from 1 species
AUGAGCAUUCGGUGUGGAUCGCGCCCAUGCUUACUCAGCUCCAGGAUCAGGCUCCUAAACCUAUUUUCAAUUAGCCAUCUGGUGUAUGUUGUUGGAGUUCCGCAUGAUGCCUUAAUCCCACCACUGUGUCUAAGGAAUAGCCUUUUCUUCUUUUCUUUAUUGUUCGUGGGAACAUAG